rnacentral:rRNA from 1 species
AGUGAACGCUGGCGGCGUGCCUAAUACAUGCAAGUCGAACGAUGAAGUCCUAGCUUGCUAGGAUGGAUUAGUGGCGCACGGGUGAGUAAUAUAUAGUUAAUCUGCCCUACACAGAGGAACAACAGUUGGAAACGGCUGCUAAUACCUCAUACUCCUAUUUGACAUAAGUUAAAUAGGGAAAGUCUUUUCGGUGUAGGAUGAGACUAUAUCGUAUCAGCUAGUUGGUAAGGUAAUGGCUUACCAAGGCUAUGACGCGUAACUGGUCUGAGAGGAUGAUCAGUCACAUUGGAACUGAGACACGGUCCCAACUCCUACGGGAGGCAGCAGUAAGGAAUAUUGCGCAAUGGGGGAAACCCUGACGCAGCAACGCCGCGUGGAGGAUGACACUUUUCGGAGCGUAAACUCCUUUUAUCAGGAAAGAAUAAUGACGGUACCUGAUGAAUAAGCACCGGCUAACUCCGUG